rnacentral:lncRNA from 1 species
GUUUUAUGAUUUUAUUUCAGAGCCUUCGGCACCGGCGGAGGCACGGGAUCGCGGCAAGAGAGUCGCAUAGCUAGAUAGCGGAGCUUGCUGUUGCUCCUAGGUGGUCACUCUCUUCUUUUUGGUUUUUGUGAGAGAGAGAGUUUUGUACCAUGUAUAGAGACCACCUGUGUACCUUGUUUAGCUUUCGUUUUUGGGAUUCUUAUUGUAUUACUUUAUGUUUCUUCUAGUGGAUUUUAGUUUUAUGGUUCUUUUCCUCUAUUGUAGCAUCUAGAUAUACUUGCU